GAUGAAGAACGUAGCGAAAUGCGAUACGUAAUGUGAAUUGCAGAAUUCAGUGAAUCACCGAAUCUUUGAACGCACAUUGCGCCCGCCAGCACUCUGGCGGGCAUGCCUGUUCGAGCGUCAUUUCAACCAUCAAGCCCCAGGCUUGCGUUGGAGCCCUGCGGCUGCCGCAGCCUCCUAAAAGCAGUGGCGGGCUCGCUAUCACACCGAGUGCAGUAGAUUACUCUUCGCUCAGGGCGUGCAGCGGGUUCCGGCCGUGAAACCCCCUACUUUUAAAGGUUGACCUCGGAUCAGGUAGGAAUACCCGCUGAACUUAAGCAUAUCAAUAAGCGGAGGA
rnacentral:misc_RNA from 1 species